GGGGGCGGGGCAGGGGGCAAACAGGCAGAGAGGAAAGGGGCUCUGUCCUGGAGCACGUCUGCGCUCCCCCGAUGGGUGCAAACCCCAAAGGCACAAGCCACGCUGACGUGACCGCCUCUGUCCCAGGGGUGCCGCGCGCCCCUCCUGCCAGCGCCACAGGACGCACCUGCCCCGCGAGCAAAGGUCAGCACGGCCAGCGCGCCCCAUACGCUGACGCCUCACCCGACCGAAGACGGGCCCCAGGAGGACCGGGAGGGCUCCCACGCCCCGCCCACCCCAGACACUGGGUGUCCGUGUCCCAUCCGGCUCCCUCAACGUCGGGGUGCGUCCUGCCCCUCAUCGCCGCGCCCCCCCCCCCCCAGCCCGGCCCACACCCAGCCUGCAGGCCGGCCCUGGCCGGCCGCCCUCCGGCAAGACACGACUGUCUGCCUGGCUCGGAGGACGUCUGGUCACCUUGUGUUUGCGGUUCGAGGAAGCUGUGUCAUCCUGGCUCUGUCCAGAGGUGACUCAGGCAUCUGCCAGGCUGACAGCGGGCCGAGCGCCUCACCUCCCCGGCCACGCCCUGGCCCCCCACUCCUCUGGCCCCCCUCUGGGUGGUCCUUCUGUCUCUAAGCUCCCCUUUGGGGUUCUGUUCGCUCCACAGCUGCCCAGGGGUCCCACCAGCCCCCACCUCCACGUGCAGCCAGGCUGAGACAGCUUGCAUGUCUGACAGCCCCCAGAGACGUGUCCUGUCCUCACACCCGCCCUCCUCCUGUGUCUCCAGCUCAGGUGAUGACCCGUCACGCCGUUCACGCAGCAGUCGCCCCCAAGACCUUGUCCCUCCUUCCGUGGCCACCUGCUGAGUCGGGCCUGCUGGACUUGGCCCUCCAGGACUCCCUGGCUCAGGCCCCAGCUUCUUCCGUCUGGACCGCGGUCCCUCAAACUCAGCGCCUCAAGGUGGUAGAAAAACCCCCUGCUUGAAGUCCCUCCUGAGCCCCUCACUGCCUGGACCACCUGUUGCGUUCCAAGCCUCCCCUCUGUCUGUGCUGGGCUCCCACCCUCCUUCCCCAGCCCUUGCUUCACCGAAGCCCCCUCCUGCUCUCCCUGUGGUAGGCAGACACCCUCUCCAGAGCCUCCAUCGAGGGCCGUGCCCAAAACUUGGUCCUGAUCUUUCCGUCCAAGGCUCGCUUCCCUUGCUGGAUGGAGGGCGGGGGACAUUCUCACCUACACCUGCUCCCCGCACCCCCCGGCCAGUGAAAGGCACGCUGCCUGGGGACAUGCGUCAGCACCGCACCCGAGGGCAGCGGGGUCUGGGCGCCCCACCUCAAUACCUCUCCAGCCUCCCCUCAUCCAGGACAGCCGACAGGCAGCACAGAAAAGCAGGCAGGGUGCCACCCCAGACCCCGGAUGUUAGACUCCGCGGCCGCAGGCCAGUUCUAUGAUUUGAAGACAACACUUUCAAUUUCCUGAAACUGCAAGAAAGAGGAAACAUGACGGACAAAAAGCAAAAGUAAACACAGGAGCAGCGCAUCUUCCAUGAGCAGGGAGCAGGGAGGCGGGGAGCAGAGGGGAGGGUGAGUCACUGUUUACUGCUCCGAGGAACAGCCAUACAGAGAACGCUCACAGCUGCCCGGGUUCCAUUUCCCGUGUGGACUGGACCCUAAGCCAGAAAGUCCACUCCAGAAACCUUUAGACUCGGGAACAGCCAGGACGCGGGCAGGACUUGUCCGCCGCCUGAGAUGGUAAACAGACUCUCAGCUACCGGAGCCCCGAGAGGGACAGCGCGGUGGACAGGGGCGCGGAGAACCUCUGGAAAGCGGCCUCGCUCAGCACAGCCCGGGCGCUGGAGAUGGGGCUGGAACGCAGCGAGCCCCGGAACCAACUUCCCCGAGGAGCCCCGAUUCAACUCCCAUUUUUAGCAACCACCUUGAAAGUGAGUGAGGCUGAACUUGGAACGCGUCCCUUAAAGUCCAGCUCCGUUCACGCGCGGAAGGCAAGUGCGCUCCGGAGAGAAGACUUGCUUUGUGUUUUCGAGUUAGUAAACUUCAGUUUGGAACCA